GGCUUCACACGGGGAGCUUGCUCCCAGAGAUGCUGCGAGGAAAGUCCCCUUGCCUUGGUGCAGAGAGUGCGAGUGGGAGACCGCAGGGCUCGUGCCAGACCCCCAGUGGUGAUGCUUCUUACAGAGCCUUGGUGGCGGGCUCGGGCCCUUCGCAGCAGCACAGACAUGCCGUGAGCGCUCGAGAUUGGAGCGCUAACAGAACGGGGCUCACUCUCC
rnacentral:RNase_MRP_RNA from 1 species